UACGAAGGGGGGCUAGCGUUGCUCGGAAUGACUGGGCGUAAAGGGCGCGUAGGCGGAUCGAUCAGUCAGGGGUGAAAUCCCAGGGCUCAACCCUGGAACUGCCUUUGAUACUGUCGAUCUGGAGUAUGGAAGAGGUGAGUGGAAUUCCGAGUGUAGAGGUGAAAUUCGUAGAUAUUCGGAGGAACACCAGUGGCGAAGGCGGCUCACUGGUCCAUUACUGACGCUGAGGUGCGAAAGCGUGGGGAGCAAACAGG
rnacentral:rRNA from 1 species